AACGUAGGAGACAAACGUUAUCCGGAGUUACUGGGCGUAAAGGGCGUGUAGGUGGUUUUAUAAGUCUGGCGUGAAAUUUCUCGGCUUAACCGAGGCAGGUCGUCGGAUACUAUGAGACUAGAGGACGGUAGAGGCGUGUGGAAUUCCGGGUGUAGUGGUGAAAUGCGUAGAGAUCCGGAGGAACACCGGUGGCGAAGGCGACGUCCUGGACCGGCAUUGACGCUGAGGCGCGAAAGCCAGGGGAGGCAAACGGG
rnacentral:rRNA from 1 species